UACGAAGGGGGCUAGCGUUGUUCGGAAUUACUGGGCGUAAAGCGCGUGUAGGCGGGUCCUUGAGUUAGGGGUGAAAUGCCAAGGCUCAACCUUGGAACUGCCUUUGAUACUGGGGAUCUUGAGUCCGGGAGAGGUGAGUGGAACUGCGAGGGUAGAGGUGAAAUUCGUAGAUAUUCGCAAGAACACCAGUGGCGAAGGCGGCUCACUGGCCCGGAACUGACGCUGAGACGCGAAAGCGUGGGGAGCAAACAGG
rnacentral:rRNA from 1 species